CUGCUUAAAUUGAAUGACUCCAUUUAAUGCUUUCUCCUCUCCAUUCAUUAUAACCCCAACGACGCCAUUUCUGCUCCCCCCUCCCUCUCUCUCUCUCUCUCUCUCUCUCUCUCUCUCAACUUCCAUAUCCGUCUCAGCUCGUCCGUACAGCGCUGUUCAUUGCACGUGACAUGCACGUGAUCCUCCUCCUCUGGCUUCUUUCGCUUAAAAGCUACAUCCGUCUCUUUUGGUAAUACUACUACAAGAGGAAAGAAGAUGGCGUCGAUNCGUCCCCUCCCCCUCCCUCCUCUCUCUCUCUCUCUCUCUCUCUCUCUCAACUUCCAUAUCCGUCUCAGCUCGUCCGUACAGCGCUGUUCAUUGCACGUGACAUGCACGUGAUCCUCCUCCUCUGGCUUCUUUCGCUUAAAAGCUACAUCCGUCUCUUUUGGU
rnacentral:lncRNA from 1 species